UACGGGGGGGGCAAGCGUUGUUCGGAAUUACUGGGCGUAAAGGGCUCGUAGGUGGCCAACUAAGUCAGACGUGAAAUCCCUCAGCUUAACUGGGGAACUGCGUCUGAUACUGGAUGGCUUGAGUUUGGGAGAGGGAUGCGGAAUUCCAGGUGUAGCGGUGAAAUGCGUAGAGAUCCGGAGGAACACCGACGGCGCAGGCAGCGUCCUGGCCGCUUGCUGACACUGAGGCACGAAAGCUGGGGGAGCAAACAGG
rnacentral:rRNA from 1 species